GACGAACGCUGGCGGCGUGCCUAAUACAUGCAAGUAGAACGCUGAAGGAGGAGCUUGCUUCUCUGGAUGAGUUGCGAACGGGUGAGUAACGCGUAGGUAACCUGCCUGGUAGCGGGGGAUAACUAUUGGAAACGAUAGCUAAUACCGCAUAAGAGUAGAUGUUGCAUGACAUUUGCUUAAAAGGUGCAAUUGCAUCACUACCAGAUGGACCUGCGUUGUAUUAGCUAGUUGGUGGGGUAACGGCUCACCAAGGCGACGAUACAUAGCCGACCUGAGAGGGUGAUCGGCCACACUGGGACUGAGACACGGCCCAGACUCCUACGGGAGGCAGCAGUAGGGAAUCUUCGGCAAUGGACGGAAGUCUGACCGAGCAACGCCGCGUGAGUGGAGAAGGUUGUCGGAUCGUAAAGCUCUGUUGUAAGAGAAGAACGAGUGUGAGAGUGGAAAGUUCACACUGUGACGGUAUCUUACCAGAAAGGGACGGCUAACUACGUG
rnacentral:rRNA from 1 species